UACAGAGACCUCAAGCGUUAUCCGGAUUUAUUGGGCGUAAAGCGUCCGUAGGUGGCCAACUAAGUCAGACGUGAAAUCCCUCGGCUUAACCGGGGAACUGCGUCCGAUACUGGAUGGCUUGAGUUCAGGAGAGGGAUGCGGAAUUCCAGGUGUAGCGGUGAAAUGCGUAGAUAUCUGGAGGAACACCGGUGGCGAAGGCGGCAUCCUGGACCGGCAUUGACGCUGAGGCGCGAAAGCCAGGGGAGCAAACGGG
rnacentral:rRNA from 1 species